UAAUUGAAGAGUUUGAUCAUGGCUCAGAUUGAACGCUGGCGGCAGGCCUAACACAUGCAAGUCGAGCGGUAACAGGGGAAGCUUGCUUCUCGCUGACGAGCGGCGGACGGGUGAGUAAUGUAUGGGGAUCUGCCCGAUAGAGGGGGAUAACUACUGGAAACGGUAGCUAAUACCGCAUAAU
rnacentral:rRNA from 1 species